AAAUUGAAGAGUUUGAUCAUGGCUCAGAUUGAACGCUGGCGGCAGGCCUAACACAUGCAAGUCGAACGGUAACAGGAAGCAGCUUGCUGCUUCGCUGACGAGUGGCGGACGGGUGAGUAAUGUCUGGGAAACUGCCUGAUGGAGGGGGAUAACUACUGGAAACGGUAGCUAAUACCGCAUAACGUCGCAAGACCAAAGAGGGGGACCUUCGGGCCUCUUGCCAUCGGAUGUGCCCAGAUGGGAUUAGCUUGUUGGUGGGGUAACGGCUCACCAAGGCGACGAUCCAUAGCUGGUCUGAGAGGAUGACCAGCCACACUGGAACUGAGACACGGUCCAGACUCCUACGGGAGGCAGCAGUGGGGAAUAUUGCACAAUGGGCGCAAGCCUGAUGCAGCCAUGCCGCGUGUAUGAAGAAGGCCUUCGGGUUGUAAAGUACUUUCAGCGGGGAGGAAGGGAGUAAAGUUAAUACCUUU
rnacentral:rRNA from 1 species